UACGUAGGGGGCAAGCGUUGUCCGGAUUUACUGGGCGUAAAGAGCGCGUAGGCGGAGGGAGAAGUCCGGUGUGAAAGCCCACGGCUCAACCGUGGAAGGUCGCUGGAAACUCUUCUUCUUGAGGGCGACAGAGGGAAGUGGAAUUGCUGGUGUAGCGGUGAAAUGCGUAGAUAUCAGCAGGAACACCCAUGGCGAAGGCAGCUUCCUGGGUCGGCCCUGACGCUGAGGCGCGAAAGCUAGGGUAGCAAACGGG
rnacentral:rRNA from 1 species